UACGAGGGGAGCAAGCGUUGUUCGGAUUUACUGGGCGUAAAGGGCGCGUAGGCGGUCGUGACAAGUCACUUGUGAAAUCUCCGGGCUUAACUCGGAACGGUCAAGUGAUACUGUCGGACUAGAGUACAGAAGGGGCAACUGGAAUUCUCGGUGUAGCGGUGAAAUGCGUAGAUAUCGGGAGGAACACCAGUGGCGAAGGCGGUUGCCUGGAGCUUUGCUGACGCUGAUGCGCGAAAGCGUGGGGAGCGAUCCGG
rnacentral:rRNA from 1 species